AAGCUCGUAGUUGUAUUUCGGGAUCAAUGUUUCGGUCAUGCCGUUGGUAUGUACUGAUAUUAUUGAUUUCUCACCUUCUAAAGAACCGUAAUGCCAUUAAUUUGGUGUCACGGGGAAUUAGGACUGUUACCUUGAAAAAAUUAGAGUGUUUAAGGCAGGCUCACGCUUGAAUACAUUAGCAUGGAAUAAUGAAAUAGGACAUCCGAUUCUAUUUUGUUGGUUUCUAGGAUCGAUGUAAUGAUUAAUAGGGAUAGUUGGG
rnacentral:rRNA from 1 species